rnacentral:rRNA from 1 species
AUUGAACGCUGGCGGCAGGCCUAACACAUGCAAGUCGAGCGGAUGAAGGGAGCUUGCUCCUGGAUUCAGCGGCGGACGGGUGAGUAAUGCCUAGGAAUCUGCCUGGUAGUGGGGGAUAACGUCCGGAAACGGGCGCUAAUACCGCAUACGUCCUGAGGGAGAAAGUGGGGGAUCUUCGGACCUCACGCUAUCAGAUGAGCCUAGGUCGGAUUAGCUAGUUGGUGGGGUAAAGGCCUACCAAGGCGACGAUCCGUAACUGGUCUGAGAGGAUGAUCAGUCACACUGGAACUGAGACACGGUCCAGACUCCUACGGGAGGCAGCAGUGGGGAAUAUUGGACAAUGGGCGCAAGCCUGAUCCAGCCAUGCCGCGUGUGUGAAGAAGGUCUUCGGAUUGUAAAGCACUUUAAGUUGGGAGGAAGGGCAGUAAGUUAAUACCUUGCUGUUUUGACGUUACCAACAGAAUAAGCACCGGCUAACUUCGUA